AGAGUUUGAUCCUGGCUUAGGAUGAACGCUGGCGGCGUGCCUAAUACAUGCAAGUCGAACGCGAGACGAGGGAGCUUGCUCCCUCCGAUCGAGUGGCGGACGGGUGAGUAACACGUAGGCAACCUGCCCAUCAGCCGGGGAUAACUGCGGGAAACCGUGGCUAAUACCGGAUAAACCUUUCCUCCGCGGGGAGGGGAGUUGAAAGACGGUUUCGGCUGUCGCUGAUGGAUGGGCCUGCGGCGCAUUAGCUGGUUGGUGGGGUAACGGCCCACCAAGGCGACGAUGCGUAGCCGACCUGAGAGGGUGAUCGGCCACACUGGGACUGAGACACGGCCCAGACUCCUACGGGAGGCAGCAGUAGGGAAUCUUCCGCAAUGGACGCAAGUCUGACGGAGCAACGCCGCCGUGAGUGAAGAAGGGUUUCGGCUCGUAAAACUCUGUUGUUAAGGAGGAAUGACAGGUAGAGUAACUGCUACCUGUGUGACGGUACUUAACCAGAAAGCCACGGCUAACUACGUGCCAGCCGCCGC
rnacentral:rRNA from 1 species